rnacentral:lncRNA from 1 species
CACUUUGGGAGGCUGAGGCAGGAGGAUCACUUAAGGCCAGGAGUUCAAGACCAGCCUGGGCAACAUAGUGAGACUCCAUCUUCAAAAAAAUUAAGAAAUUAGCCGAGCAUGGUAGUGUGCACCUGUAGUCCCAGCUACGCAGGAGGCUGAGGUCUAGGCUGUAGUAAGCUGUCAUCUACCACUGCACUUUAGCUUGGGCAACAAAGCGAGACCCUGUCUGAAAAAAAAAAAAAAUUUAUAUCCUGGCUCUCCUAUCCCAAACCCCCUCUAGUGAAGGGUGGUGGCUUCUUUAUAUGGUUUCUUGUAGGGCCUCAGCUGGAGUCUGCCUUUUUUGAUGAAAGCAGGGCGUGCUUGGUUGAAUGGCCCCAGCAAAAUAAGGCUUGGAAGGAAAUCUGCAUUUCCCUCCACACCCACACAUACCCCAGUAACUGAGUCGUGUAUGUGUGAACAGCUGCCGCCCCCCACACACACACCGACACAGUUUUCCGCCUACCCUUCCCUAUUCCCCACAAAAAUCUUGCAGGUAGAAUUAGACUGCUUUUGGUGAACAGUUAAGUUCCUUUUCUACUCUUGAACAAUCGCAGAUCUUACUGUGCAGUCUGUUUUGCUGAAAGUGGAAAGUCCCCGUUUGUGGACAGCUCAGUUCACUUCAGCAGAGGAAAUGGGCAGAGUCCUACUCUUCGUCAGUGCGAAGUGGGGGAGGGGAGCCAUGCACUCCCUAGCACACAUUUUGAAUGG